CUCAUCCAAAACUGCCCUCUGAUACUGCCCAUGGAGAUACACCAAAUAUGGCACACAAAGUCUGCACAACCUUUUCAGGGCAUCAUCACUUGUUGUCUUCCAGAACACUGUGAGAUUGAAGAAGGUUCUGAAGAGGAGAUAAGAUAUAUAUUGGCAAGGAUACUAUCACUGCUUUCCAAAGGAAAUUUUUGGGAAAGCCAAUCACUGAAAAAGAGCUCACACAAUACAGAACAACACAACUACAUUGUUACUACAUUAAUCAUAGUUUCUGCCAAUACAGUAAGUACAACUGCAAACAAACCGUUUUAUUCUUGUGCACAACUUCAGCUGCGCAAAAAUCAUCUUACACUGAUCCCAUAAAUAGCCUGUGAAACACAAAAAUUCUUGCUUGUUUAAGGAAUCCCAACAUAUGUUUACGUGCCUGACAUGGGAAUUGAUUUGAAGUGUGAGAUUGUGUUGUUCUAGAAGUUCUGGAAAUAAAUCAAGAAUUGCUUCAGGCUAUCA
rnacentral:lncRNA from 1 species